rnacentral:tRNA from 1 species
GCGGGGGUUCCCGAGCUAGGUUAAAGGGGAGGGACUCAAGAUCCCUUGGCAUAGGCCUUCGUGGGUUCAAAUCCCACCCCCCGCACCA